AUCAAAUGUUUGGUAAAAAUUAGAUUUUUUUGGGGGGGGCUUAGAGGCAGCUUUCUGUUGGAGUAACCUCCCACCAUUGCUCUAGCUGCACGAUCUCGGAUAUCAUGGUCAAGUCACAAUCACUUGAGAUCUGACUGGGAAAGCCAGUCGUAGCUAUAAUGAGUUAACCACCGUGCAGUCAUUUGGAGGCAAGUACCGUAUGUCCGUGGUCAGAUUCAGAAGCCAUGUGCAAGCGCAAAUCCAUUUCUCAGUCGAAACCGAGACCUUAAAGUUGUCAAAAACGAACAUCCAAGGAAGGCAGAAGCCCCAUAAUGAAGACACAUUCUAGUGCUGGACGCUCUGCGGUGUAGAGGUUCUCCGACCUCCAGAGUGUAAUAUUUUAUGCAUCGUGUAACAUAUGUAGACGUUGGGUUCUUUACUCCCCGUGCGUUUCGUCUGUGGGAUAUUGGUGCAGAUCCAAACGCUGAUCCGUAAAUGAGCUCCUGGAGAUGGCUUUAUCUCCCAGAUUUCCCUGUCCUGCUCUAUAUCUCUCCAGCUUUGUAUCAAAUUUCUGGACGUUUUCAUCCCACACGGUGAGGAAAGAAGAUUGCUGGAAUUCCUGCCUCCCUGCACGGACAAAAGCAGAAACUGCUGAACGGAAAAGCCAUUCCGCUGGUUUCUUUUCUGAUCUGUGAAAUGGAAAAAUUAUGAGACACUUGAAAAAAUCACAUGACCACGGAAUAUGAAGAUGUUUUGUUACAAGUCUUAUCUGGAAGCAGCUGUUUAACAUUGACGUCUUCAGCUUGGGUUGGUGACGGACAGUGCCAGUGGCUCUACAUUCCCUCUUUUCUCACCAAGUAAAUGGAUGGACCCAAAAAAUGGACGGCCAUCUCAAC